rnacentral:rRNA from 1 species
UACGUAGGGGGCAAGCGUUAUCCGGAUUUACUGGGUGUAAAGGGAGCGUAGACGGCUUUGCAAGCCAGAUGUGAAAGCCCGGGGCUCAACCCCGGGACUGCAUUUGGAACUGCGUGGCUGGAGUGCGGGAGGGGCAGGCGGAAUUCCUGGUGUAGCGGUGAAAUGCGUAGAUAUCAGGAGGAACACCGGCGGCGAAGGCGGCCUGCUGGACCGCGACUGACGUUGAGGCUCGAAAGCGUGGGGAGCGAACAGG